GCCUUCGUGGUGUAAUGGUCAGCACACUGAGCUGGUAUUUCAGAGGUCCGCGGUUCGAUUCCCGGCGAAGGCG
rfam:Stegodyphus mimosarum contig109114, whole genome shotgun sequence.